URCCUUUUGCAUCAUGCUCAGAUGAGUUUAUGAAUAAUUGUUCUUUAACCGAAAGUUCUGGAUUUCUUUUCUAAUUGCUUAGCGUGUGUUUUCGGGUAGAAAGUAUAAAUUGGGAAAGUGAUGUGAAACAUUAAACGUCAGGGCUGAUAGCUGUUUAACAACUUGCAAAUUUGAAUUAUCUACAAGGUUAUAAGAUCUUGUGGAAUUAUAUAUUAACUGUUUUUUUGUUUUACAAUAGGGUUAAAAGUACCCGUUUGUUGUAAGAUUGUUCAAAACUUAAGAUUUAAUGGGGUAAAAUUAUGUAUAGUGGUUGUUUAAUAUAACUUUUAGAAAUUAAGAAUAUCUGAAUAAGUAAUAAAAUUAGAGUAAUUAUUUCUCAAGUAUUGCCCGUCUGUUUAUUAAAAACAUUUCCAUAUAAAAAUUUUUAUGGUAGGACCUGCUCUAUGCAUUAAUUUGUAAAUGGCCGCAGUAUUUUGACUGUGCGAAGGUAGCAUAAUUAAUUGCCUUAUAAUUGAAGGCUUGUUUGAAUGGUUUGACGUGGUGAUUAUAAAUAUUUAUUUUUUUGUUGAAUUUAGUUUGGAGUGCACAGAAACCUCCUGAUUUAAUUAGACGGAAAGACCCCAGGAUCUUUUAUUUUUGUCUGGGGCAGAUAAAAAUUUUUUAUUUUUAUUGAGACCCUUUAUGGUUUAGUGGUUUAAGUUACCCUGGGGAUAACAGUGUAAUAGUUUACUAGAGAUCUUAUCGAAUAAACUGUUUGCUACCUCGAUGUUGACUUAGGUAAAUAAGUUAGGCGCAGUAGUUUAAUUUUUUGGUCUGUU
rnacentral:rRNA from 1 species